rnacentral:rRNA from 1 species
UACGUAGGGCGCAAGCGUUAUCCGGAAUUAUUGGGCGUAAAGAGCUCGUAGGCGGUUUGUCGCGUCUGCCGUGAAAGUCCGGGGCUCAACUCCGGAACUGCCAUUGAAACUGUUAGACUUGAGGAUGAGAGAGGUGAGUGGAAUUCCCAGUGUAGAGGUGAAAUUCGUAGAUAUUGGGAAGAACACCGGUGGCGAAGGCGGGUCUCUGGGCAGUAACUGACGCUGAGGAGCGAAAAGCGUGGGGGAGCGAACAGG